rnacentral:tRNA from 1 species
GCGGCCGUGGUCUAAUGGCAUGAUUCGAGCUUCCCAAGCUCGCGGCCCGGGUCCGAUUCCCGGCGGCCGCA